rfam:Cavia porcellus supercont2_2 genomic scaffold, whole genome shotgun sequence.
GGGGAUUUAGCUCAGAGGCAUAAGCGCCUGCCUUGCAAGCAGGUAGUUCGAUCCCCG